CCUACGGGUGGCAGCAGUGAGGAAUAUUCGUCAAUGAGCGCGAGCCUGAACCAGCCAAGUAGCGUGAAGGAUGACUGCCCUACGGGUUGUAAACUUCUUUUAUAAAGGAGUAAAGUUGGGCACGUGUGCCUUUUUGUAUGUACUUUAUGAAUAAGGAUCGGCUAACUCCGUGCAAGCAGCCGCGGUAAUACGGAGGAUCCGAGCGUUAUCCGGAUUUAUUGGGUUUAAAGGGAGCGUAGAUGGGUUUUUAAGUCAGUUGGGAAAGUUUGGGGCUCAACCGUAAAAUUGCAAUUGAUACUGGCAGUCGUGAGUACAGUUGAGGUAGGCGGAAUUCGUGGUGUAGCGGUGAAAUGCGUAGAUAUCACGAAGAACUCCGAUGGCGAAGGCAGCUUACUAAACUGCCACUGACAUUGAGGCGCGAAAGUGUGGGUAUCAAACAGGAUUAGAUACCCGAGUAGUC
rnacentral:rRNA from 1 species